rnacentral:rRNA from 1 species
AUGAACGCUGGCGGCGUGCUUAACACCUGCAAGUCGAACGAGAAGUGAAGACGGAAACCUUCGGGCGGAAGGCUUUAUUUCGAGUGGCGGACGGGUGAGUAACGCGUGGGUAACCUGCCUCAUACAGGGGGAUAACAGUUGGAAACGACUGUUAAUACCGCAUAAGACCACAGCACCGCAUGGUGCGGGGGUAAAAACUCCGGUGGUAUGAGAUGGACCCGCGUUCGAUUAGCCAGUUGGCGGGGUAACGGCCCACCAAAGCGACGAUCGAUAGCCGAUCUGAGAGGAUGACCGGCCACAUUGGGACUGAGACACGGCCCAAACUCCUACGGGAGGCAGCAGUGGGGAAUAUUGCACAAUGGGGGAAACCCUGAUGCAGCGACGCCGCGUGAGUGAAGAAGUAUUUCGGUAUGUAAAGCUCUAUCAGCAGGGAAGAAAAUGACGGUACCUGAGUAAGAAGCCCCGGCUAACUACGU